UACAGAGGCCUCGAGCGCUAGGCGGAAUCACUGGGCUUAAAGCGUGUGUAGGCGGACUUCUAAGUGCCUUGUGAAAUCCCACGGCUCACCCGUGGAACUGCUGGGCAUACUGGGAGUCUUGAGCCACCUAGGGGCGAGCGGAACAAAUGGUGGAGCGGUGAAAUGCGUAGAUAUCAUUUGGAACGCCAACGGAGAAAUCAGCUCGCUGGGGGUGUGCUGACGCUGAGACACGAAAGCCAGGGGAGCGAACGGG
rnacentral:rRNA from 1 species